rnacentral:rRNA from 1 species
UACGGAGGAUGCGAGCGUUAUCCGGAUUUAUUGGGUUUAAAGGGUGCGUAGGCGGGCUUUUAAGUCAGCGGUAAAAAUUCGGGGCUCAACCCCGUCCGGCCGUUGAAACUGGGGGCCUUGAGUGGGCGAGAAGAAGGCGGAAUGCGUGGUGUAGCGGUGAAAUGCAUAGAUAUCACGCAGAACCCCGAUUGCGAAGGCAGCCUUCCGGCGCCCUACUGACGCUGUGGCACGAAAGUGCGGGGAUCGAACAGG